UUGGAGGGCAAGUCUGGUGCCAGCAGCCGCGGUAAUUCCAGCUCCAAUAGCGUAUAUUAAAGUUGUUGCAGUUAAAAAGCUCGUAGUUGAAUUUCGGGAUUAGUACGUUGGUCGUGCCUUCGGUACGUACUGGUGUUACUGAUUCCUACCUUCUGACGAACCAUCAUGUCAUUAAUUUGGUGUGGUGGGGAAUCAGGACUGUUACUUUGAAAAAAUUAGAGUGUUUAAAGCAGGCUCGCGCUUGAAUACAUUAGCAUGGAAUAAUGAAAUAGGACGUUGACCCUAUUUUGUUGGUUUCUAGGAUUGACGUAAUGAUUAAUAGGGAUAGUUGGGGGCAUUAGUAUUCAAUUGUCAGAGGUGAAAUUCUUGGAUUUAUUGAAGACUAACUACUGCGAACGCAUUUGCCAAGGAUGUUUUCAUUAAUCAAGAACGAAAGUUAGGGGAUCGAAGACGAUCAGAUACCGUCGUAGUCUUAACCAUAAACUAUGCCGACUAGGGAUCGGAUGAUGUUAUUUUUAAUGACUCAUUCGGCACCUUACGGGAAAC
rnacentral:rRNA from 1 species